rnacentral:tRNA from 1 species
CCUGUAGCUCAGUGGAUAGAGCACUGGCCUCCGGAGCCAGUUGCGAGGGUUCGAUUCCCUUCAGGUGC